rnacentral:rRNA from 1 species
CGGAUAAAAGGUACUCCGGGGAUAACAGGCUUAUCUCCUCCAAGAGUUCACAUCGACGAGGAGGUUUGGCACCUCGAUGUCGGCUCAUCGCAUCCUGGGGCUGGAGCAGGUCCCAAGGGUUUGGCUGUUCGCCAAUUAAAGCGGUACGCGAGCUGGGUUCAAAACGUCGUGAGACAGUUUGGUCCCUAUCUUCCGUGGGCGUAGGAGGCUUGAGAGGAUCUGACCUUAGUACGAGAGGACCGGGUUGGACGCACCUCUGGUGUACCAGUUGUCACGCCAGUGGCAUCGCUGGGUAGCCAUGUGCGGAUUGGAUAACCGCUGAAAGCAUCUAAGCGGGAAACCGACCUCAAGAUUUGGCCUCCCGGGGGCAACCCCCUGAAGACCCGAUGGAGACUACGUCGUUGAUAGGCCGGAUGUGUAAGCGCGGUAACGCGUUCAGCUAACCGGUACUAAUCGGUCGUGAGGCUUACAUUA